rnacentral:tRNA from 12 species
GUAGAUAUAGUUUAAUAAAACACUAGAUUGUGAUUCUAGAGUCAGAGGUUAAACCCCUCUUAUCAACC